rnacentral:rRNA from 1 species
UACAGAGGUCCCAAGCGUUGUUCGGAUUCACUGGGCGUAAAGGGUGCGUAGGUGGCGAGGUAAGUCGGAUGUGAAAUCUCCGAGCUCAACUCGGAAAUGGCAUUGGAAACUACCUUGCUUGAGGGUCGGAGGGGGGACUGGAAUACUUGGUGUAGCAGUGAAAUGCGUAGAUAUCAAGUGGAACACCAGUGGCGAAGGCGGCUCGCUGGGCUCUACCUGACGCUGAGGCGCGAAAGCGUGGGGAGCGAACCGG